rnacentral:rRNA from 1 species
UACGAAGGGGGCUAGCGUUGUUCGGAAUUACUGGGCGUAAAGGGCUCGUGGGCGGCCAACUAAGUCGGAUGUGAAAUCCCCAGGCUUAACCUGGGAACUGCAUCCGAUACUGGAUGGCUUGAAUCCGGGAGAGGGAUGCAGAAUUCCAGGUGUAGCGGUGAAAUGCGUAGAUAUCUGGAGGAAUACCGGUGGCGAAGGCGGCAUCCUGGACCGGCAUUGACGCUGAGGCGCGAAAGCUAGGGGAGCAAACAGG